rnacentral:rRNA from 1 species
GACGGACGCUGGCGGCGUGCUUAACACAUGCAAGUCGAACGCGCCUGUCCUCUGGGUUUCUGGGGGGUGGGUGAGUGGCGAACGGGUGAGUAACACGUGAGUAACCUGCCCCCUUCUUCGGGAUAACGGUCUGAAAGGGCUGCUAAUACCGGGUAUUCACUUGUCUCCGCAUGGGGUCUGGCGGCAAGGUUUUUUUCUGGUGGGGGAUGGGCUCGCGGCCUAUUAGCUUGUUGGUGGGGUGAUGGCCCACCAAGGCUUUGACGGGUAGCCGGCCUGAGAGGGUGCACGGGCACAUUGGGACGGAGAUACGGCCCAGACGCGUACGGGAGGCGGCAGUGGGGAAGAUUGCACAAUGGGCGAAAGCGUGAUGCAGCGACGCCGCGUGAGGGAUGGGGGCCUUCGGGUUGUGAAGCUCUUUCGCCCGUGGACAAGCCGCGACGUGGGUCGUGGUGAGGGUAGUGGGUAAAGAAGCGCCGGCUAACUACGUG